rnacentral:rRNA from 1 species
AGAGUUUGAUCCUGGCUGAGAACGAACGCUGGCGGCAGGCUUAACACAUGCAAGUCGAGCGCCCCGCAAGGGGAGCGGCAGACGGGUGAGUAACGCGUGGGAAUCUACCCUUUUCUACGGAAUAACGCAGGGAAACUUGUGCUAAUACCGUAUACGCCCUUCGGGGGAAAGAUUUAUCGGGAAAGGAUGAGCCCGCGUUGGAUUAGCUAGUCGGUGGGGUAAAGGCCUACCAAGGCGACGAUCCAUAGCUGGUCUGAGAGGAUGAUCAGCCACAUUGGGACUGAGACACGGCCCAAACUCCUACGGGAGGCAGCAGU